AUGACACUGAAGAUGUUUCACUGUUUGAUGCGGAAGAGGAGACGACUAAUAGACCAAGAAAAGCCAAAAUCAGAAUGUCACAGGUAGACUAAUGGUUGGCCUACGUUGGUGGAAUCACAUUGAUGAAGAUGGAAAGAGCCAUUGGGUGUUUGAAUCUAGAAAGGAGUCCUCUCAAGAGAAUAAAACUGUGUCAGAGGCUGAAUCAAGAAUCUUUUGGUUGGGACUUAUUGCCUGUCCAGUACUGUGGGUGAUAUUUGCUUUUAGUGCACUCUUCUCCUUCAGAGUAAAGUGGUUGGUGAGUAUCAGUGUAGAACUUUCAAAUAAUCCAUUAAGAUGUCUGAUGGUAAUCAUAGGAAGCAACAACUACAACUGAGUCCUUAUCAUUAGGGACCUAUCUUGAAUAGGCAGCUUCAUCAUGUAAUUCCCAAGUUUUGCUUCCCAACUUUACCUUUCUCUAUAAUACUGGAGAAGAGAUCCUAAAAA
rnacentral:lncRNA from 1 species